AGAAUUUGAUCCUGGUUCAGACUGAACGCUGGCGGCGUGGAUGAGACAUGCAAGUCGCACGGAAAAGUGAGCAAUCACUUUUGAGUGGCGAAAGGGUUAGUAAUACAUGGGUAAUUUGCCUCUUACCCGGGGAUAACGGUUGGAAACGACCGCUAAUACCGGAUGUGAUUAAGAACGGCAUCGUUCUCUAAUCAAAGUGGGGGACUUCGAAAGAAGCCUUGCGGUAAGAGAGAAGCUCAUGAGGUAUCAGCUAGUUGGUAAGGUAAUGGCUUACCAAGGCUAAGACGCCUAGGCGGAUUGAGAGAUUGACCGCCAACACUGGGACUGAGACACUGCCCAGACUCCUACGGGAGGCAGCAGUCGAGAAUAUUUCGCAAUGGGCGAAAGCCUGACGAAGCGACGCCGCGUGGACGAUGAAGGCCUUCGGGUUGUAAAAUCCUGUUGUUAGGGAACAAGGGAGAGUCGUGAACAACGACUUUUUUUGAGGGUACCUAAAGAGAAAGCACCGGCUAACUCCGUGCCAGCAGCUGCGGUAAUACGGAGGGUGCAAGCGUUAGUCGGAAUUAUUGGGCGUAAAGGGUGCGUAGGCGGGGACGUAAGUCAAAUGUGAAAUUCCGGGGCUUAACCUCGGAGCUGCAUUUGAUACUAUGUUUCUUGUCGGAUGGCGGAGAAAAUGGAAUUCCACGUGUAGCGGUGAAAUGCGUAGAUAUGUGGAAGAACACCUGUGGCGAAAGCGGUUUUCUAGCCUGCCCGAGACGCUGAGGCACGAAAGUUAGGGGAGCAAACAGGAUUAGAUACCCUGGUAGUCCUAACCUUAAACUAUGUAUACUUGGCGUAGAUGGUCUCAACCCCAUCUGUGCCGGAGCGAACGCGUUAAGUAUACCGCCUGGGGAGUACAGUCGCAAGGCUGAAACUCAAAAGAAUUGACGGGGACCCGCACAAGCAGUGGAGCAUGUGGUUCGAUUCGAUCCACGCGAAGAACCUUACCUGGGCUUGACAUACAGGUGGCGGCGGCAGAAAUGUCGUCUUUCCGCAAGGAACGCCUGAACAGGUGCUGCAUGGCUGUCGUCAGCUCGUGCCGUGAGGUGUUGGGUUAAGUCCCGCAACGAGCGCAACCCUUGUCGUUAGUUGCCAGCACGUAAUGGUGGGCACUCUAGCGAGACUGCCUGGGUUAACCAGGAGGAAGGUGAGGAUGACGUCAAGUCCGCAUGGCCUUCAUGCCCAGGGCUACACACGUGCUACAAUGGUCGGUACAGAGGGCAGCAAUACCGCGAGGUGGAGCAAAUCCCUAAAGCCGGCCCCAGUUCAGAUUGGAGUCUGCAACUCGACUCCAUGAAGCCGGAAUUGCUAGUAAUGGCGAGUCAGCAACAUCGCCGUGAAUACGUUCCCGGGUCUUGUACACACCGCCCGUCAAGUCACGGAAGUUGGUUUCACCCAAAGUUGCUCACCUAACCCGCAAGGGAAGGAGGCACCCAAGGUGAGGCUGAUAACUGGGACUAAGUCGUAACAAGGUAGCCCUACCGGAAGGUGGGGCUG
rnacentral:rRNA from 1 species